rnacentral:rRNA from 1 species
ACGGUCCCCCUUGUGGUCGGUGUACAGUGGGUGCAUGGCUGUCGUCAGCUCGUGUCGUGAGAUGUUCGGGUUAAGUCCCGCAACGAGCGCAACCUUGUCUUAUGUUGCCAGCACGUGAUGGUGGGGACUCGUAAGAGACUGCCGGGGUCAACUCGGAGGAAGGUGGGGACGACGUCAAGUCAUCAUGCCCCUUAUGUCCAGGGCUUCACACGUGCUACAAUGGCCGGUACAGAGCGCAGCGAGGCCGCGAGGCGGAGCGAAUCGCUUAAAGCCGGUCCCAGUACGGAUUGGAGUCUGCAACCCGACUCCAUGAAGUUGGAAUCGCUAGUAAUCGCGCAUCAGCAUGGCGCGGUGAAUACGUUCCCGGGCCUU